AGUGAAUGAGUGAGAGAGAGUGAGUUCUGAGACAAAUUUCGGCACCACUGUUGUGCUGUCCUCUCUGGCACUGGACAAAGGUCUUGCAAUUCAAAAAAGUUGCAAUAAUUUUGGCCAAAACAGAAUCAGUUUAGUGCUCCAUAGUGGAUGAUUUGUAUGAUUGGAGAGAGGUAUAAUGAUCACAGUGAUGGUAACGCCCUUGAAACAGGGCACUCAGUUCAUGAAAGAGGAAUUUUGGGUCAAAAUCUGCUUAUCAUAUACAUUUCUCCUUAGAAAAAAAAAAAAAAAAAGAAAGAAAAAAAACUUUCCUCAGCUACCCAAAAGAAAUCACAUUACUACAAUUUAAUAACUUCUAAUAAACAUAUUCAUGAUGAAAAAAAUAAAAUAAAAUAAAAUGAUUUCAGAGAAUAAAUGUGGCAAGAGGCGUUCUAAUCUAAAUCCAUCAUUUUUUUUUUUCUGGCUUUGAUGUAAAUUUUCUGCUUUUUAAACAUCUUUGCACAUAUUCUCCUUGAUCUAACUAACAUAACUUAUUCUUAUGCCGCCAAAAGCGACACUUUCCAGGUAAGGAAAGCAGUAGUGCAACAGCCUUUAGGCAGGAUAAUUCAGUAGCGCUUUCCACACAGCAGUUUGUUAUGUCUGAACAUGUCUUCAAAACACUUCAAAAGGUCCGCUGUGAAUUUUACACAGCUUGGGUUUAAUUUCUUUCUUCCUUUUUUUUUUUUCCUUUUUUAAUUUUUUUAUUUACCUUUUUUUAACAAAUGUGCCAAAACAAUAUGCUGGCAUAAUUCUAGUACUGUAAAAUGGUGUUUUAAAUCAAAAAUAAAAAGUGUAAUGAUAAUUUAAAUAUAGUGCGUAAGGUAGUAUUUUGCACAUUUUAAGACUGAAAAGAGUAAUCUUUAUUAAUUUACUGAACCAUUACAUUGUGUUCAUUAUUUCACUUAUGUAGGCAUUCUGACAUGCUGCUUUAUGUCAAGUGUUACUCUUUUUGUUUUUUCUUUCCCUUUUUUUCUUAAAAAAAUAUUGUCAAGUACAGGAGCUCUGUGGCAGUAAACAGAAGUGACAAAACUGAAAGCCCAGUUUUCACCCUGGGCCCUUAAGAGGAAGGGAAAGGAUUUCUUAUGAUUUUCAUACUACAGGGAAACUAAAUAUUAAAAAAUAAGCUUGUGAUGAUGUCAAAGGCUGAGAUAUAUCAAACAACAACCAGCGGCCAUUCAAACUCUUAUGAUUUCAAAUGUGGAAAAAAAAAAAAAUGUCAUUGUUUACUCACCCUCAGGUCAUUCCAAACCUAAAUGUUAAUAGUUUUUCUGUGGAUCACCAAAGUAGCCUUUUUUUUUUAAGAAUCAUUAUAUAGGUUUUGCCAUACAUCCACAGUUCAUGGUGACCAUGGGCUGUUAAGCACCAAAAAAAACAAAAACAUAAAAGGGACCAUAAAAGCCAUCCAAAUGACUUGUGCAUUAGAGUCCAAGUCUUCUGAAGCCAUAUGACAGUUUUUUUGUGGCAAUCAGACUGAAAUUUAAAUUUUUUAAAAUAAUCUUUACUUCCAACCAAGCUAUGGUCAAGCCUGAGUCCAGAUGCAGAUUCGUCAUUGUUGUCAAAACGGCAUUGGAUCUCGACUGUGUAAUAAC